rnacentral:rRNA from 1 species
GGUGCUAACGNGUUAGAUUCGACCGCCUGGGGAGAACGCCCGCAAGUUUAAAAUUCAAAGGAAUUGACGGGGCCCGAACAAGCGGUGGAGCAUGUGGUUUAAUUGGAUGCAACGGGAAGAACCUUACCUGGUCUGAACAUCCACGGAAUUUGGCAGAGAUGCCUUAGUGCCUUCGGGAACCGUGAGACAGGUGCUGCAUGGCUGUCGUCAGCUCGUUUUGUGAAAUGUUGGGUUAAGUCCCGCAACGAGCGCAACCCUUAUCCUUUGUUAGCCAGCGGUCCGGCCGGGAACUCAAAGGAGACUGCCAGUGAUAAACUGGAGGAAGGUGGGGAUGACGUCAAGUCAUCAUGGCCCUUACGACCAGGGCUACACACGUGCUACAAUGGCAUAUACAGAGAGAAGCGACCUCGCGAGAGCAAGCGGACCUCAUAAAGCAUGUCGUAGUCCGGAUUGGAGUCUGCAACUCGACUCCAUGAAGUCGGAAUCGCUAGUAAUCGUGGAUCAGAAUGCCACGGUGAAUACGUUCCCGG